rnacentral:rRNA from 1 species
AUUGAACGCUGGCGGCAGGCCUAACACAUGCAAGUCGAACGGUAACAGGAAGAAGCUUGCUUCUUUGCUGACGAGUGGCGGACGGGUGAGUAAUGUCUGGGAAACUGCCUGAUGGAGGGGGAUAACUACUGGAAACGGUAGCUAAUACCGCAUAACGUCGCAAGACCAAAGAGGGGGACCUUCGGGCCUCUUGCCAUCGGAUGUGCCCAGAUGGGAUUAGCUAGUAGGUGGGGUAACGGCUCACCUAGGCGACGAUCCCUAGCUGGUCUGAGAGGAUGACCAGCCACACUGGAACUGAGACACGGUCCAGACUCCUACGGGAGGCAGCAGUGGGGAAUAUUGCACAAUGGGCGCAAGCCUGAUGCAGCCAUGACGCGUGUAUGAAGAAGGCCUUCGGGUUGUAAAGUACUUUCAGCGGGGAGGAAGGGAGUAAAGUUAAUACCUUUGCUCAUUGACGUUACACGCAGAAGAAGCACCGGCUAACUCCGUG